UGGGGGAUCGUCUAAUGGCAAGACUCCGGCCUUUGGAGCCGGCUAUCCGGGUUCGAGUCCCGGUCCCCCAG
rnacentral:tRNA from 1 species